CACAGCAGCAGCAGCAGCAGCAGCCUGACCCGGUUCAACCUGAAUGGGACGCAGCCUUAAUCAUCAUCAUUGGCAACACCUGUGUCAAAAUGGCCGCUGUCAGAAAGGUCUACAGUCCACACCUGUGCUGCGUCUGCCAACAGGGAACUGGCUGAGAAGUUGGUGUCAUCUUGUUGGCCAGAGGACGACUUGGAGGAUGGAUAUCUGUGCUUGAGUUCAACUUAAACUUGCUUUUAAGUGCAACAUUUGGAAGACCCUGCCUCUCUCCAGCCAGGCCCAUGUGAUGACAACUAAGCUAUCUCCAUGACAACUGACUGAACUUCAUCUUCUGCGGAAGACCAAGAAAUACCAUUGACAGCUUUGGAAAAAGCAACAAGUACCCGCACAUCUCGGUUCUGCUCUGACAGGUAACCCAUCUGACAUUCAAAUUGAGACUUCCCUGUGAACAAGACCUGCAGGGUAUUUGCAAGUGCAUUGAUCCCACAAGAGCUGGGAUUUCCAAAUGAAUGGAUUGGAUGCAGCCAGGCAGUGCAACGUGGUUUCUCCCGAUUACUCCUCUCCAUCUGCUCAUUUAACUAGAGAGUAAAAGGCCAAAGAGAGAAAUGCAGCGACAGUUGCAAGAGAAGAGAAAGCUUAGAAAUUUGAGAUGAACUGAGGGCCAAUAUAGAGAUGGCAUCCUGUCUAGCCCCAUCCAAGUAGGUCAUUAGUGCUGCUGCAUCAUGAAGAAGACAGGAGCUUGACAACAAAAUUUCUAGUUUUGGAGAAGCCAUCACACU